rnacentral:rRNA from 1 species
GAUUGAACGCUGGCGGCAUGCCUUACACAUGCAAGUCGAACGGCAGCACGGGAGCAAUCCUGGUGGCGAGUGGCGAACGGGUGAGUAAUGUAUCGGAACGUACCUUUCAGUGGGGGAUAACGUAGCGAAAGUUACGCUAAUACCGCAUAUUCUGUGCGCAGGAAAGCAGGGGAUCGCAAGACCUUGCGCUGAUUGAGCGGCCGAUAUCAGAUUAGCUAGUUGGUGAGGUAAAGGCUCACCAAGGCGACGAUCUGUAGCGGGUCUGAGAGGAUGAUCCGCCACACUGGAACUGAGACACGGUCCAGACUCCUACGGGAGGCAGCAGUGGGGAAUUUUGGACAAUGGGGGCAACCCUGAUCCAGCCAUGCCGCGUGAGUGAAGAAGGCCUUCGGGUUGUAAAGCUCUUUCGGCCGGGAAGAAAUCGCAUGGGUUAAUACCCUGUGCGGAUGACGGUACCGGCAUAAGAAGCACCGGCUAACUACGUGCCAGCAGCCGCGGUAAUACGUAGGGUGCGAGCGUUAAUCGGAAUUACUGGGCGUAAAGCGUGCGCAGGCGGUUUUGUAAGACAGGCGUGAAAUCCCCGGGCUCAACCUGGGAGCUGCGCUUGUGACUGCAAGGCUAGAGUAUGGCAGAGGGGGGUGGAAUUCCACGUGUAGCAGUGAAAUGCGUAGAGAUGUGGAGGAACACCAAUGGCGAAGGCAGCCCCCUGGACCAAUACUGACGCUCAUGCACGAAAGCCAGGGGAGCAAACGGGAUUAGAUACCCCGGUAGUCCUGGCCCUAAACGGUGCAUGUUUGCUGUGAGAGGAUUCGACCCCUUUCGUGGCGGAGCUAACGCGUUAAACAUGCCGCCUGGGGAGUACGGUCGCAAGAUUAAAACUCAAAGAAAUUGACGGGGGCCUGCACAAGCGGUGGAGUAUGUGGCUCAAUUCGAUGCAACGCGAAGAACCUUACCUGGCCUUGACAUGCAAGUGGUAGAAGGAUGAAAGUCCAACGACCCCGCAAGGGGAGCUUGCACAGGUGCUGCAUGGCUGUCGUCAGCUCGUGUCGUGAGAUGUUGGGUUAAGUCCCGCAACGAGCGCAACCCCUGUGUCCUGUUGCCACCCGGUCGAGAGACUGGAGCACUCUGGACAGACUGCCUCGCUUCAACGAGGAGGAAGGUGGGGAUGACGUCAAGUCAGGAUGGCCCUUACGGCCAGGGCUGCACACGUACUACAAUGCUCGGUACAGAAGGAAGCGAAACCGCAAGGUGGAGCAAAUCCCAUAAAGCCGAGCCCAGUUCAGAUUGUCGUCUGCAACUCGACGGCAUGAAAUUGGAAUCGCUAGUAAUGGCGCAUCAGCUACGGCGCCGUGAAUACGUUCCCAGGCC